GACGAACGCUGGCGGCGUGCCUAACACAUGCAAGUCAACUUGACUGAAGGAGCAAUCUGACAGUAGAGUGGCGCAAGGGUGCGUAACGCGUAAGUAACUUGCCCAAGGUAAGGAAUAACGUCGAGAAAUCGGCGCUAAUACCUCAUAAUGCAGCGGAUCCGCAUGGAUAUGUUGUUAAAGGUUUACCGCCUUGGGAUAGGCUUGCGUCUGAUUAGCUAGUUGGUGUGGUAACGGCACACCAAGGCUACGAUCAGUAACUGGUCUGAGAGGAUGAUCAGUCACACUGGAACUGAGACACGGUCCAGACUCCUACGGGAGGCAGCAGUGAGGAAUAUCGGGCAAUGCUCGAAAGAGUGACCCAGCAACGCCGCGUGGAGGAUGAAGGUAUUCUAUAUCGUAAACUCCUGUGAGAGCAGACGAAAGACAGAUUAUUAAUACUGGAUGACUGUAUGCUCAGAGGAAG
rnacentral:rRNA from 1 species